UACGUAGGGGGCAAGCGUUGUCCGGAAUUAUUGGGCGUAAAGCGCGCGCAGGCGGUCAAUUAAGUCUGGUGUAUAAACCAAGGGCUCAACCUUUGGACGCAUUGGAAACUGGUUGACUGGAGUGUAGGAGAGGAAAGUGGAAUUCCACGUGUAGCGGUGAAAUGCGUAGAGAUGUGGAGGAACACCAGUGGCGAAGGCGACUUUCUGGCCUAUAACUGACGCUGAGGCGCGAAAGCGUGGGGAGCAAACAGG
rnacentral:rRNA from 1 species